CAGCGGCCCUAGUGGUGAUCGUUAUUAUUGGGCCUAAAGCGUCCGUAGCCGGUCCGGUAAAUCCCUGGGUAAAUCGUUGGGCUUAACUCAACGAAUUCUGGGGAGACUGCCGGACUUGGGACCGGGAGAGGUCGGAGGUACUCCAGGGGUAGGGGUGAAAUCCUGUAAUCCUUGGGGGACCACCGGUGGCGAAGGCGUCCGACCAGAACGGGUCCGACGGUAAGGGACGAAGCCCUGGGGCGCGAACCGGAUUAGAUACCCGAGUAGUCC
rnacentral:rRNA from 1 species